GUGGUGAUAAGGUGACAAAAGGAGCAACGCACGGGUAUUUAAUUACCCCAUGAUAUUUCUCCUGGGAAGGUCUGAGAUUAGGUCCCAACCGGAUUUGGUUGGUUGUAUCCUCUAGCAGGGGAACGAUGUAAACCGUCGUGGUGCCGUACCAGAAACUUGUCCUUGGUACCGAUCGCCCUAGAAGUACAAGACGGUUUUACCUAGUGUUAGGGAGAACCUGAUACGAUCGUGGUGACGGUAUUGAGUUUGAACCACGGUGCCGGUACUAGCUGCGCUGAGUGCGAUUGUCACCCACACAUAUGAACUCAAUUCAGACUACUCUGUCGCCAC
rfam:Wuchereria bancrofti cont1.2579, whole genome shotgun sequence.